rnacentral:tRNA from 1 species
GAGGGCGUAGCUCAGUCGGUAGAAGAGCAGCGGCCUUUUAAGCCGUGGGUCCUGGGUUCGAGUCCCAGCGCCCUCA